ensembl:ncRNA F37D6.11 ncRNA
UAUGACCAGAUCCAAGAAACGAAUACACCUUGACUGGUCAAUGAUAUUUAUGUUUUAAAAAGCUUUGCAGAGUUCAGUGGCAAGCAGUAACUCUGGCAAGUGUUCUGAACGGCCUAAGCUUUCAUAAAACAUGAGAACAUCUAGAAUUACAAGAGAAAAGUUGUGCGAUGAUUGUCUUCGAACAGUUGGUGUCUAGUUGUUUUCAGAGACUAGAAACUUGAGAA